rnacentral:lncRNA from 1 species
CAGUAUAUGACAGUACAUAUCAAUACAUUACAAUUAAUCUUUUAAUUACAUCAUGUCCACUAUUCUAUUACAACCAUACAUUCAUGCAUAUCCUUCCUCUUUACUCUUGCUGACUUUGACUUCUCACAGCUAAUCUCAGAACCUGCAAAACUGGGGUUAAGGGAGUGGGAUGAGCUACUACAGCCCAGUGAGGAGGAACAAUAAAACAAUUCAUUCAUUAUAUGCUCUCAUGGAAUGCAUCACAUCACAAACAUAUCAUCAAAAGGAUGAACUUGUCACCAAUAGCCCGCUACAUACAUAAUAGUAUGUCCGACUGUGCCAGGGGCGAUUAGGCCACACCUGGACUUCUCUUAACUGACUCAUAUCAUAACAUGUCCCACUGUGCCAGGGGCGAUUAGGCCAUCACCUGGACUUCUCUUUUCUCUGAUCUGACAGCCCGGCUGUCUAACUCAUAGUACCAGGAGCGACCUGGACUAUCCAGGAGCGACCUGGUAUGGCUAUCUCAUGCCAUAUCUCAUAUGCUCUCAUGGUGUCUCAACUGAUAUCAAGGGCUAUGGAUCAUUCAACAUUCAUCCACACAAAUAUCAUCUUAUGCAAUGCAGCAUAUUCGUGGAUUCUAAUGCAACACAACCUAAUACAUAACAUGGUAUUUUAUGAUGCAUGAAAUAUGCUAGAAGUGUGUCAUUUCUCAAUGUAAAAUCUUCAGUUUAGUUCCACUCACCUGUAGCCUCUGCUUGGCUAACUCUGGGCUAACUAGCUGGACCAAUUCUAACUCUGAAGCAGCUACUACUGCUAAAUACCUCGUUUCCUCGGGUCCAACCCUACAAUGAAGGACUCAAAUGAGGUACCAAACAUACUCUAUAUCACUGAUAAACAUCUCCCCAAAACCCCUCUAAAAUACCUCAAAACAAGCAUGCAAAACAAGCAAAGGAAGGCUGGACAGGGCACCUUCGGCAGCACCUUCGGCGGCCGAAUGUCUCCUUCAGAGACGAAAGUCAGGCAUGUUCGGCGGCCUAACUUGGACUUUCGGCGGCCGAACCUGAGUUCAUCCAGAACUCAGUUUCGUGCACAAGGACGCCUGCCAGUCCCUUCAUCACCUGCUCAGCCCUCAAUACAUGCAUUUAACCCCUCUAAAACAUGCAUAAACACUUGAACAAACAUAAAGGAGCUUAAAACAACUUAAACUCCAACAAAACAACUAACACAACAUAUAAUCAUGCUUUCACCAUCAAAACAUCAAAACUAACCUAAGCAUGCAACUCAUGCAUACACUUCCAUAACCUCUUUAAAAAGCUGUUAAAACUCAUUAAAACAAACUUAAAGACGUCCCUUACCUCCUGAAAUCAGAAGAGGAACAAGCAAACACAGCAACUCCUCCUCCAAAGCUUCAAACCCUCACAACUCUUCUUUUCUCUCAAAAACAUUCAACUCACUCAAAUCACGACCAACCUUCUGCCUAAGCUGAUAAAAGCUUGCAGAUGAGUCAUGGGAGACGUGGCCUAACCUCUGGUCAUGAUCUGGAGGUGAACACCUGGCCAAACCACGGACUGAGGAGCAUGCACAACUAACCGACCACCUCAGCUUCGGCUGCCGAAACUGCAUGCAAAACCAUGCAACUUUCGGGGGCCGAACAUCACCUUCGGGGGCCGAACAUUGGGCACUUUCGGGGGCCGAACUUAACCUUCGGGGGCCGAACAUGACAGAAACUCCUUUGGCCAAUUCUCCACAAAACUCAAUUCGUUUUCAC